rnacentral:lncRNA from 1 species
GUGUCCAAAGACGAAGCCGAGUUCCCUUUGGCCUAUGUCAUGGUCAUCCGCAAAGACUGAUACAUUUGAAAGACUCUUGAGGGCCAUCUACACUCCCCAAAACAUCUACUGUGUUCAUGUGGAUCAGAAGGCCCCAGUCACUUUCAAAGACGCUGUAAGAAAGCUACUGAGCUGCUUCACAAACGUCUCUGUGGCUUCUGAGAGGGAGUCUCUGUUCUACACAGGGAUCUCCAGGCUCCAGGCUGACCUGCACUGCCUGAAAGACCUUGUGGCCUCUGAGGUUCCCUGGAAGUACGUCAUCAACACCUGUGGGCAAGAAUUCCCCUGAAAACCAACAGGGAAAUACGUUCAGUAUCUGAGGUUACGGAAAAGGAAAAAUAUCACCCCCGGGGUGCCGCCUCCUCCUCAUAUUAUCAGAAGGACCAAAUACAUGCACUUGGAGCAGAGAUAGCUUGUUUUCCUUCAUGCUGUGGACUUGCAUGAGAAAAAUGCCUCCUCCCCACCAUCUGACAAUUUACUUUGGCUCUGCCUAUGUGGCCCUUACAAGGGAAUUUGCUAAUUUUGUUCUUCAAAACCUAAGGGCCAUUGAUUUACUUGAGUGGUCAAAAGAUACUGACUCUCCUGAUGAGCAUUUCUGGGUGACACUCAGUAGGAUUCCAGGUAUGUGGAACUUGAUUUCCAAUCUACAUAAA